rnacentral:rRNA from 1 species
GAUGAACGCUGGCGGCGUGCUUAACACAUGCAAGUCGAACGGGAAACCUUUUAUUGAAGCUUCGGCAGAUUUAGCUGGUUUCUAGUGGCGGACGGGUGAGUAACGCGUGGGUAACCUGCCUUAUACAGGGGGAUAACAGUCAGAAAUGGCUGCUAAUACCGCAUAAGCGCACAGAGCUGCAUGGCUCAGUGUGAAAAACUCCGGUGGUAUAAGAUGGACCCGCGUUGGAUUAGCUGGUUGGUGGGGUAACGGCCCACCAAGGCGACGAUCCAUAGCCGGCCUGAGAGGGUGAACGGCCACAUUGGGACUGAGACACGGCCCAGACUCCUACGGGAGGCAGCAGUGGGGAAUAUUGCACAAUGGGGGAAACCCUGAUGCAGCGACGCCGCGUGAAGGAAGAAGUAUCUCGGUAUGUAAACUUCUAUCAGCAGGGAAGAUAAUGACGGCACCUGACUAAGAAGCCCCGGCUAACUACGUG